AUAUGCUGUAUAUAAUAAAGCAAGAUCAGUAUUAAUACAUUGUAGAAGUGGACGUAAAGCUCCGGGACCAGGAACGAACCAAGCAAGAUCAGCAUCAAUACUGUAUAUAUAGAGAACAAAUCAUACAGACUACAGACAAGAUUAAUCUGUAUUAAUAAAAGUAUGAAGUUGUUAAUUGUAGUAUGUGCUCUAGUAGCAGUAACAUUGGUUGGUAGAUCAGAAGGAUUCACCUGUUCUCCAUGCACGGACACAGAGAGAAGUCGGUGUCGUCCUGUACCCGCAACUGAUGACUGUGAACAAGUUCUAGACUACUGUAGAUGUUGUACCAAAUGCGCUAUUAAAGAAAACCGGAGUUGUGGCGAUUAUAGUCAAAGAUGUGAAACUGGUUUGACCUGCGUGAAACCAUCGGGACCAAGACGAUUUCCAACAGUACGAUAUCCAGAUGGUUUUACAACACCACCACCACCACCGACAGAAUCAUAUAACGCUUGGUGGCAGAGAACUCGUUUCAUGAACAUCGGAACCUGUACCAGAUCCUAAUCGUAAAGACUCGGAUAGAAGAACAAAGAAAUAAAAAAAUUAAGUGUAUACUGUAUCUCUAGGAUACGCAUGUAAAAUAGAUAAACUAAAUAAAUUAAAUUCUAUUGUUC